rnacentral:rRNA from 1 species
CGCAUAUGGGCUUUUCCUAUUGUUUUACUCUUAAGUAUAGCUAUGUUAUUCUCAAUUCAACUGUCUAUUCAAAAAAUAAAUGGAAGUUCGAUCUAUCGAUAUCUAUGGUCUUGGACCGUCAAUAAUGAUUUUUCUUUAGAAUUUGGAUAUUUGAUUGACCCACUUACUUCUAUUAUGUUAAUACUAAUUACUAUUGUAGGAAUCCUAGUUCUUAUUUAUAGUGAUGGUUAUAUGUCUCACGAUGAAGGAUAUUUGAGAUUUUUUGUUUAUAUAAGUUUUUUCAAUACUUCCAUGUUGGGAUUGGUUACUAGCUCCAAUUUGAUACAACUUUUUUGGGGGGAACUCGUAGGAAUGUGUUAUUAUUUAUUGAUAGGUUUUUGGUUUACACGACCAAUCGCAGCGAGUGCUUGUCAAAAAGCUUUAAUACUAGAGAGCGGAUAUAUCUCGCACUUAGCGAGACGGAAUAAAGCUCGUCUGAACACCAACUAG